rnacentral:rRNA from 1 species
ACGGAGGGUGCAAGCGUUAUUCGGAAUUACUGGGCGUAAAGCGUGCGCAGGCGGCUAUGUAAGACAGAUGUGAAAUCCCCGGGCUUAACCCGGGAACUGCAUUUGUAACUGCAUGGCUAGAGUACGGCAGAGGGGGACGGAAUUCCGCGUGUAGCAGUGAAAUGCGUAGAUAUGCGGAGGAACACCGAUGGCGAAGGC